AGUGAACGCUGGCGGUAGGCCUAACACAUGCAAGUCGAACGGCAGCACAAGAGAGCUUGCUCUCUGGGUGGCGAGUGGCGGACGGGUGGGGAAUACAUCGGAAUCUACUCUGUCGUGGGGGAUAACGUAGGGAAACUUACGCUAAUACCGCAUACGACCUACGGGUGAAAGCAGGGGACCUUCGGGCCUUGCGCGAUUGAAUGAGCCGAUGUCGGAUUAGCUAGUUGGCGGGGUAAAGGCCCACCAAGGCGACGAUCCGUAGCUGGUCUGAGAGGAUGAUCAGCCACACUGGAACUGAGACACGGUCCAGACUCCUACGGGAGGCAGCAGUGGGGAAUAUUGGACAAUGGGCGCAAGCCUGAUCCAGCCAUACCGCGUGGGUGAAGAAGGCCUUCGGGUUGUAAAGCCCUUUUGUUGGGAAAGAAAUCCAGCUGGCUAAUACCCGGUUGGGGUGACGGUACCCAAAGAAUAAGCACCGGCUAACUUCGUGCCAGCAGCCGCCGUAA
rnacentral:rRNA from 1 species